CAUAGGUUAAUGAGGCGAACCGGGGGAACUGAAACAUCUAAGUACCCCGAGGAAAAGAAAUCAACCGAGAUUCCCCCAGUAGCGGCGAGCGAACGGGGAGCAGCCCAGAGCCUGAAUCAGUGUGUGUGUUAGUGGAAGCGUCUGGAAAGGCGCGCGAUACAGGGUGACAGCCCCGUACACAAAAAUGCACAUGCUGUGAGCUCGAUGAGUAGGGCGGGACACGUGGUAUCCUGUCUGAAUAUGGGGGGACCAUCCUCCAAGGCUAAAUACUCCUGACUGACCGAUAGUGAACCAGUACCGUGAGGGAAAGGCGAAAAGAACCCCGGCGAGGGGAGUGAAAAAGAACCUGAAACCGUGUACGUACAAGCAGUGGGAGCACGCUUAGGCGUGUGACUGCGUACCUUUUGUAUAAUGGGUCAGCGACUUAUAUUCUGUAGCAAGGUUAACCGAAUAGGGGAGCCGAAGGGAAACCGAGUCUUAACUGGGCGUUAAGUUGCAGGGUAUAGACCCGAAACCCGGUGAUCUAGCCAUGGGCAGGUUGAAGGUUGGGUAACACUAACUGGAGGACCGAACCGACUAAUGUUGAAAAAUUAGCGGAUGACUUGUGGCUGGGGGUGAAAGGCCAAUCAAACCGGGAGAUAGCUGGUUCUCCCCGAAAGCUAUUUAGGUAGCGCCUCGUGAAUUCAUCUCCGGGGGUAGAGCACUGUUUCGGCAAGGGGGUCAUCCCGACUUACCAACCCGAUGCAAACUGCGAAUACCGGAGAAUGUUAUCACGGGAGACACACGGCGGGUGCUAACGUCCGUCGUGAAGAGGGAAACAACCCAGACCGCCAGCUAAGGUCCCAAAGUCAUGGUUAAGUGGGAAACGAUGUGGGAAGGCCCAGACAGCCAGGAUGUUGGCUUAGAAGCAGCCAUCAUUUAAAGAAAGCGUAAUAGCUCACUGGUCGAGUCGGCCUGCGCGGAAGAUGUAACGGGGCUAAACCAUGCACCGAAGCUGCGGCAGCGACGCUGAUGCGUUGUUGGGUAGGGGAGCGUUCUGUAAGCCUGCGAAGGUGUGCUGUGAGGCAUGCUGGAGGUAUCAGAAGUGCGAAUGCUGACAUAAGUAACGAUAAAGCGGGUGAAAAGCCCGCUCGCCGGAAGACCAAGGGUUCCUGUCCAACGUUAAUCGGGGCAGGGUGAGUCGACCCCUAAGGCGAGGCCGAAAGGCGUAGUCGAUGGGAAACAGGUUAAUAUUCCUGUACUUGGUGUUACUGCGAAGGGGGGACGGAGAAGGCUAUGUUGGCCGGGCGACGGUUGUCCCGGUUUAAGCGUGUAGGCUGGUUUUCCAGGCAAAUCCGGAAAAUCAAGGCUGAGGCGUGAUGACGAGGCACUACGGUGCUGAAGCAACAAAUGCCCUGCUUCC
rnacentral:rRNA from 1 species